rnacentral:rRNA from 1 species
GAUGAACGCUGGCGGCGUGCCUAAUACAUGCAAGUCGAGCGAACAGACGAGGAGCUUGCUCCUCUGACGUUAGCGGCGGACGGGGGAGUAACACGUGGAUAACCUACCUAUAAGACUGGGAUAACUUCGGGAAACCGGAGCUAAUACCGGAUAAUAUAUUGAACCGCAUGGUUCAAUAGUGAAAGACGGUUUUGCUGUCACUUAUAGAUGGAUCCGCGCCGCAUUAGCUAGUUGGUAAGGUAACGGCUUACCAAGGCAACGAUGCGUAGCCGACCUGAGAGGGUGAUCGGCCACACUGGAACUGAGACACGGUCCAGACUCCGACGGGAGGCAGCAGUAGGGAAUCUUCCGCAAUGGGCGAAAGCCUGACGGAGCAACGCCGCGUGAGUGAUGAAGGUCUUCGGAUCGUAAAACUCUGUUAUUAGGGAAGAACAAAUGUGUAAGUAACUAUGCACGUCUUGACGGUACCUAAUCAGAAAGCCACGGCUAACUACGUG